GAUCCUGGCUCAGAUUGAACGCUGGCGGCAGGCCUAACACGUGCAAGUCGAACGGUAGCACAGAGGAGCUUGCUCCUUGGGUGACGAGUGGCGGACGGGUGAGUAAUGUCUGGGAAACUGCCCGAUGGAGGGGGAUAACUACUGGAAACGGUAGCUAAUACCGCAUAACGUCGCAAGACCAAAGAGGGGGACCUUCGGGCCUCUUGCCAUCGGAUGUGCCCAGAUGGGAUUAGCUAGUAGGUGGGGUAACGG
rnacentral:rRNA from 1 species